GGGUGAGUAAUACGUUUGUAACCUACCUUUAACUCUGGGAUAAGCCUGGGAAACUGGGUCUAAUACCGGAUACGACCAAUCUCCGCAUGGGGUGUUGGUGGAAAGCGUUAUGUAGUGGUUAUAGAUGGGCUCACGGCCUAUCAGCUUGUUGGUGAGGUAACGGCUCACCAAGGCGACGACGGGUAGCCGGCCUGAGAGGGUGACCGGCCACACUGGGACUGAGACACGGCCCAGACUCCUACGGGAGGCAGCAGUGGGGAAUAUUGCACAAUGGGCGCAAGCCUGAUGCAGCGACGCCGCGUGAGGGAUGACGGCCUUCGGGUUGUAAACCUCUGUUAGCAGGGAAGAAGAGAGAUUGACGGUACCUGCAGAGAAAGCGCCGGCUAACUACGUGCCAGCAGCCGCGGUAAUACGUAGGGCGCGAGCGUUGUCCGGAAUUAUUGGCGCGUAAAGAGCUUGUAGGCGGUUUGUCGCGUCUGCUGUGAAAGGCCGGGGCUUAACUCCGUGUAUUGCAGUGGGUACGGGCAGACUAGAGUGCAGUAGGGGAGACUGGAAUUCCUGGUGUAGCGGUGGAAUGCGCAGAUAUCAGGAGGAACACCGAUGGCGAAGGCAGGUCUCUGGGCUGUAACUGACGCUGAGAAGCGAAAGCAUGGGGAGCGAACAGGAUUAGAUACCCUGGUAGUCCAUGCCGUAAACGUUGGGCACUAGGUGUGGGGGACAUUCCACGUUUUCCGCGCCGUAGCUAACGCAUUAAGUGCCCCGCCUGGGGAGUACGGCCGCAAGGCUAAAACUCAAAGAAAUUGACGGGGGCCCGCACAAGCGGCGGAGCAUGCGGAUUAAUUCGAUGCAACGCGAAGAACCUUACCAAGGCUUGACAUAUACUGGACCGCAUCAGAGAUGGUGUUUCCCUUCGGGGCUGGUAUACAGGUGGUGCAUGGUUGUCGUCAGCUCGUGUCGUGAGAUGUUGGGUUAAGUCCCGCAACGAGCGCAACCCUCGUUCUAUGUUGCCAGCACGUUAUGGUGGGGACUCAUAGGAGACUGCCGGGGUCAACUCGGAGGAAGGUGGGGACGACGUCAAAUCAUCAUGCCCCUUAUGUCUUGGGCUUCACGCAUGCUACAAUGGCCGGUACAGAGGGUUGCGAUACUGUGAGGUGGAGCUAAUCCCUAAAAGCCGGUCUCAGUUCGGAUUGGGGUCUGCAACUCGACCCCAUGAAGUCGGAGUCGCUAGUAAUCGCAGAUCAGCAACGCUGCGGUGAAU
rnacentral:rRNA from 1 species